UACGUAGGGUCCGAGCGUUGUCCGGAAUUAUUGGGCGUAAAGGGCUCGUAGGCGGUUCGUCACGUCGGGAGUGAAAACUCGGGGCUUAACCCCGAGCCUGCUUCCGAUACGGGCAGACUAGAGGUAGGCAGGGGAGAGCGGAACUCCUGGUGUACGCGGUGGAAUGCGCAGAUAUCAGGAAGAACACCGGUGGCGAAGGCGGCUCUCUGGGCCUUACCUGACGCUGAGGAGCGAAAGCGUGGGUAGCGAACAGG
rnacentral:rRNA from 1 species